rnacentral:rRNA from 1 species
UAGGGUUUGAUCAUGGCUCAGAACGUACGCUGGCGGCACGCCUAAUACAUGCAAGUCGAACGCAGUAGCAAUACUGAGUGGCAGACGGGUGAGUAUAAUGUGGGUAUCUGCCUUUUGGUUUGGAAUAACUUGAGGAAACUCGAGCUAAUACCGGAUAAGCCCUUACGGGGAAAGCUCUAUGCGCCAAAAGAUGAGCCUGCACUUGAUUAGCUUGUUGGUGAGGUAAAGGCUCACCAAGGCAACGAUCAAUAGCUGUUCUUAGAGGAAGACCAGCCACAUUGGGACUGAGACACGGCCCAGACUCCUACGGGAGGCAGCAGUAGGGAAUCUUGCACAAUGGAGGAAACUCUGAUGCAGCGAUGCCGCGUGAGUGAGGAAGGCCUUUGGGUUGUAAAACUCUUUCGUCGGGGAAGAAAAUGACGGUACCCGAAUAAGAAGGUCCGGCUAACUUCGUGCCAGCCGCCGCGGUAAUACA